rnacentral:rRNA from 1 species
GACAGAGGGUGCAAACGUUGUUCGGAAUUACUGGGCGUAAAGCGCGUGUAGGCGGCUAUGUAAGUCGGGCGUGAAAUCCCACGGCUCAACCGUGGAAGUGCACCCGAAACUGCGUAGCUAGAGUCCUGGAGAGGAAGGUGGAAUGCUUGGUGUAGAGGUGAAAUUCGUAGAUAUCGAGCGGAACACCGGUGGCGAAGGCGGCCUUCUGGACAGUGACUGACGCUGAGACGCGAAAGCGUGGGGAGCAAACAGG